rnacentral:rRNA from 1 species
GGGAAUUUGCCCAAAUGGGCCAAGGCCUGUGAUUGGCCAGCCAUAGCCGGGUGGUGGUGAAGAAGGCCCUUCCGGGGUUGUUAAAGCAUCUUCCAGGCAGUUGAGGAAAGGGUGGUGUUAUUUAUAUUGGUGGCAUCAUUUGAUGUUUUGUGUCAGAAGAUGCCAUCGGUUAUUUCCGUGCCAGCAGGCUGUGGUCAUUAGGGAGGGUGUGAUGGAUUAAUCGGGAAUUUACUGGGCGUAAAGCGCAUGCAGGUGGGUUAUUAAGUCAGAUGUGAAAGCCCGGGGCUCAACCUUGGAUUUGCAUUUGAAACUUGGUCAUCUAGAGUACGUAGAGGGGGGUAGAAUUUCAGGUGUAGCGGUGAAAUGCGUAGAGAUCUGAAGGAAUACCGGUGGCGAAGGCGGCCCCCUGGACAGAUACUGACACUCAGAUGCGAAAGCGUGGGGAGCAAACAGGAUUAGAUACCCUGGUAGUCCACGCCGUAAACGAUGUCUACUUGGAGGUUGUGGCCUUGAGCCGUGGCUUUCGGAGCUAACGCGUUAAGUAGACCGCCUGGGGAGUACGGUCGCAAGAUUAAAACUCAAAUGAAUUGACGGGGGCCCGCACAAGCGGUGGAGCAUGUGGUUUAAUUCGAUGCAACGCGAAGAACCUUACCUACUCUUGACAUCCAGAGAAGCCAGCGGAGACGCAGGUGUGCCUUCGGGAGCUCUGAGACAGGUGCUGCAUGGCUGUCGUCAGCUCGUGUUGUGAAAUGUUGGGUUAAGUCCCGCAACGAGCGCAACCCUUAUCCUUGUUUGCCAGCGAGUAAUGUCGGGAACUCCAGGGAGACUGCCGGUGAUAAACCGGAGGAAGGUGGGGACGACGUCAAGUCAUCAUGGCCCUUACGAGUAGGGCUACACACGUGCUACAAUGGCGCAUACAGAGGGCAGCCAACUUGCGAAAGUGAGCGAAUCCCAAAAAGUGCGUCGUAGUCCGGAUUGGAGUCUGCAACUCGACUCCAUGAAGUCGGAAUCGCUAGUAAUCGUGAAUCAGAAUGUCACGGUGAAUACGUUCCCGGGCCUUGUACACACCGCCCGUCACACCAUGGGAGUGGGCUGCAAAAGAAGCAGGUAGUAUAACGUUACAGAGUAACCCAUGCCAGAGUAGUUGGC